rnacentral:tRNA from 1 species
GAGGCUAUAGCUUGAGUGGUAGAGCACCUGCCUAGCAUGCAUGAGGCCCUGGGUUCAACCUCCAGUGCCUCC